AAGAGAACUACAAUGCUUGAAGUAACAGAGCCAGUAGCAUGGAUGAGAAGGCAUAACCCACCACUUACUGUUUUGAAGGCACCUGCUCCUGCUCCUGCCCCAGCUUCCUGGCCACACUCAGCCCCAGAGCUCAGCUAGCAUUUGUACUUGCUGCUCACUCGACGGGUUGCAAUGAAGCAAGGAGCCACGGAAACGCUCCCAUCAAGUGCUAUUGCAAGCACCUGCGCUGCCACAGGCUUUUACAGACAUGAGUCCCAGUCUGCGAAGUCCCUGCGUGACCGCUAAGUGUGGCUGGACACCUAAUGCCCUGCUAUUUUUUCAGGUGAUCUCAAGCACCACAUGCCUGCAGAUCACUCUUUAAUUGCAAAACCUGUUGACCGCAGUUAAUUACUGGGCUUCUCUGAAUUUAUAGAAGCGACCUGUUUAAGCAGCUUCUAGCAAUUCUAAUGCCUAAAAUUGCUAGGAAGCGAUAGGAUACCAUGACACUUUUUCAAAGGUAGCAGUUAGGCUUCUUUGUUUUCUCAGGUGAAAUUUCUGUCAGUAGCUGGGUCAGGUCAACCGUGGUGCUCUCACAGUUAAAGGCAGUUUGUACGCAGAAAGCAGAAUUGUGCCUGUAGCUGCUUCUUUAAGAGAAAGCGCCCAAAAGAGAGCUUAAAUAACAAAGGACAACUACAGCUUCUGUCCUGCUAGAUAUUUGGCACAACGUAACGUAAAAUGAAUCUCCAGAGAGAAGCCUAAGUAACUGGUGACUACGACUAGUGGUGUAUUUUACGGAUUACGAGGAAAGCGAAGCGCCCUUUGAGGCCCGAGGGGGCCAGGCCCGCUGCCGUUGCCAUGGCGACAGGAGGCCAGGCACCUCACGAGCCGCGCGGGCCAUAGAGUAGCAGGCCUCCUCUGGCUAGAAGGGCCUAGGAGAGCCCGYCCCGCCCCGCUCCGUGAAGCGGCGAGGGAGCGCCGCCGUGACCUUCCGCCGCUUCCCAGCGAGCUGCCCUCACACAAGAUGGCUGCCGGGAGGAGCGGCUUCCCUUGCCACGACCCAAGAUGGCCUCUGCCCGGAGCUCGUUGUGGGGCGGAGUUGGGGUCGCCGGGGCGCAUGCGCGGCUCGGCGACGGCAGCACGGCGGGGGCAGCGCCGGUAACGGACGCAGCUUGUUUCCUCUUGUGACCUCGCCUUUAAAGAGAUGGAAGGAGCUAAUCGGCUAUUUGCCAGGUAACAGAGAAAAUUACAGUAUAAAGGACUGGGCAGCCUGCUCGUGAGGAGACCGUUGUACUCCUGAGAGCCCACAGCCUGGCCUCUGCUUAAGGAAACAGCUUUAGUGCGGCAGACAGCUUUUAGCCUCUUAAAUCCCAUCCAAUUUGCGUUUGAACAACUCCUAAAGCAGUAUGAAUUCUGAUCUCUGCUGGCAAAAACUUAUCAAUUAAUUUGGUUCGACUUUUAGUUUAUUUAAGAAAAUGAAUCUGGUA
rnacentral:lncRNA from 1 species